UACGUAGGGGGCUAGCGUUGUCCGGAUUUAUUGGGCGUAAAGAGCGUGUAGGCGGCCAGGUAGGUCUGCUGUGAAAACUCGAGGCUCAACCUCGAGACGUCGGCGGAAACCAUCUGGCUAGAGUCCGGGAGAGGAGAGUGGAAUUCCUGGUGUAGCGGUGAAAUGCGCAGAUAUCAGGAAGAACACCCGUGGCGAAGGCGGCUCGCUGGGACGGUACUGACGCUGAGACGCGAAAGCGUGGGGAGCGAACAGG
rnacentral:rRNA from 1 species